rnacentral:rRNA from 1 species
GAUGAACGCUAGCGGCAGGCCUAAUACAUGCAAGUCGAACGGUGGUAGCAAUACUCAUAGUGGCGCACGGGUGCGUAACACGUAACUAACCUACCCAGCACUGGGGGAUAGCCCGCCGAAAGGCGGAUUAAUACCGCAUAAGAUAGCAGAGGGGCAUCCCUUAGUUAUUAAAGAUUUAUUGGUGUUGGAUGGGGUUGCGGGUCAUUAGCUAGUUGGUUGGUAACGGCUGACCAAAGGCGACGAUGACUA